rnacentral:tRNA from 1 species
GGAGCUGUGGCUCAGUGGUAGAGCAUUUGCCUAGCAUGUGGGAAGCCCUGGGUUUGAUCCCUAGCACCA